AUGGCUUUUGAUGCAAUAAUAGAAUCAGCUGAGAGAGGACUUGGAAAACAGAUAUUUGUAGAAGGCUACGGUGGCACAGGAAAAACCUACCUAUGGAAGGCAAUUACAACAAAGCUACGAUCAGAGGGAAAGAUAGUGCUUGCGGUAGCAUCAUCUGGCAUUGCAGCUUUGCUGCUCCAAGGUGGAAGAACAGCGCACUCAAGAUUCCACAUUCCAAUAAAUAUCACAGAAGAAUCAACAUGUGAAAUAAAACAAGGCUCAUAUUUGGCUGAACUGGUAAAGAAGACCUCACUUAUACUGUGGGACGAGGCUCCUAUGGCAAACAAACACUGCUUCGAGGCACUAGACAAAAGCCUUAAGGAUAUUCUAAGGUUCACAAACCAAAAUAGUGACGAAAGGCCAUUUGGUGGCAUGACAGUUGUGCUAGGAGGCGACUUCAUACAAAUACUUCCAGUGAUAACAAAGGGAAAGAGAGAGCACAUAGUAAAUGCCUCAAUCAAAAGGUCAUACCUAUGGAAGCACUUCGAAAUAUUUAGAAUAACUCAAAACAUGCGGCUGAAGUGCCUGUCAGAAGAUCCAAUACAAAGGCAAAAUGUGGCUGAAUUUGCAGUAUGGAUAUUACAAAUUGGCGAUGGAAAAAAAAAACAAAUGAUGAAGGAGAUGAUUGGGUAA
rnacentral:rRNA from 1 species